rnacentral:lncRNA from 1 species
GUUUCUUAUAAAGACAUCUACCAGACAACAAAUGGAAGUUUUUAACGACCUUGACUGGCUAUACAGCCCUUGCACAGUGGACAUCUACCAGUGGCAGAUGCAGAACUUUUUAUAAGGGGAGGGGGGGCUCACUGACUGACCUGAGGGGAGGGGAGAAUCUCAUUCAAGCUUCAGUGAUUCGCUAUAUAAUCAACCAAAUUGUCCCCUUCAUGAUCUGCCUAUGUCUACUCAAUGUAAUAUACAUAAAUAUUUGAAUUCAGAUUUAUCAGGUCAAAUUAUUUGUUUUCAGUUUUAUUAUGAAUUAUGAAUUUUUACUAUUAGGACCAAAUAUCAAGAACUAGAAGAAGUACCCUUUCAUAUUCCUUCUUUUAUUUUUUAUUGGAUGAUGAAUAAUUGGGACAGGAGGGUCCAGAGACACAGGCGUAAAGGUAUUUAGGGAAAAAAAAUUCUGAGACGAGUGCCUGUCAGGUAUAUGGGAAUUUUUUUUUUCUGAGACGAGUGCCUGUGUCCAGAGAAAUACCAUAUAUAUUAUAAAUUGGAAAAUCCAAACACUUGUAUAUUGCUAAAGACUUAAUAUAUGAUGAUCUCUACAUGUCUUCUGAUUUUGUGUUUUGGGGUUGCUGUCAUAUUG